UAGUCAUUUGAUUGGAGCAGGAUAUAUCAUGUAUCAAAGACUUAACUUCAUUGUAUGAGCAUGCAACUAUCGAGGACAUAUAUGUUGCAUAUGAGCAUUUGAAAGUAGAUGACACUUCCUUAUUUUGCUGUGUUGGAGUUGCGGGAACUAAUGCAGGUGGUGAUGAUAUGCUCGACAUUGGCGAAGAAGAGUCAGAUGCUGGCCAUCAUGGAAUGAUGCCUACUGGGCGCUGUUUGUCAACAAUGACACGACCAACAACCUAGCCUUUGUUGGAUUGUAUUCACCUGAAAUCUUAGUUAGCUUUCUAUUCUACAGAUUACAGAUUGAUCGAUGAGAGUCCUGUGACCUUCAGGCCAUAGCGUUGCGACCACAAACAUCAUCGUUUGACAAUGACAUGGUCAUGGAGAUUAAUCUCAU